rnacentral:rRNA from 1 species
AUGAACGCUGGCGGCGUGCCUAAUACAUGCAAGUCGAGCGAACGGACGAGAAGCUUGCUUCUCUGAUGUUAGCGGCGGACGGGUGAGUAACGCGUGGAUAACCUACCUAUAAGACUGGGAUAACUUCGGGAAACCGUAGCUAAUACCGGAUAAUAUUUUGAACCGCAUGGUUCAAAAGUGAAAGACGGUCUUGCUGUCACUUAUAGAUGGAUCCGCGCUGCAUUAGCUAGUUGGUAAGGUAACGGCUUACCAAGGCAACGAUGCAUAGCCGACCUGAGAGGGUGAUCGGCCACACUGGAACUGAGACACGGUCCAGACUCCUACGGGAGGCAGCAGUAGGGAAUCUUCCGCAAUGGGCGAAAGCCUGACGGAGCAACGCCGCGUGAGUGAUGAAGGUCUUCGGAUCGUAAAACUCUGUUAUUAGGGAAGAACAUAUGUGUAAGUAACUGUGCACAUCUUGACGGUACCUAAUCAGAAAGCCACGGCUAACUACGUG